rnacentral:tRNA from 1 species
GGUCCGGGGGUGUUAUUACAUAUCAAAUUGCAAAUUUGAAGUAGGCUAAGUUAGCUUCGGACUU